rnacentral:misc_RNA from 1 species
UGAAUCUUGGUGUAAUCCAAUUGAAAUAAGAAAAUCUCUUGUGUCAAACAGAUAGAGACAACAACUUAAAAUUAGUCGAACUGAUUAUUUCAGUUGAUCACAUAUUUCAUUAUCCUUGUAGCCUAGUUUGGCCCUAUCUAAUGGCUGAAUAAGCCAGGACAGACUGACAGAAGCUCCAACAAUGAAUGGGAAAAUGUGGACUAGAACUUGGGGAUUUAACUCAUCAUGUAUUUGGAAUUUGUUUCGUCUCAUUGGGCUUUUGGUUGCAAUGAGGUUCCCAUUCCCAGCCUGUAAAAAUCACUAAUCAAAUGUACUCAUUUCAGUCAUGCUAAUGCUCCCAACUCUAUCUUUGGAGUGAUUUAUGGUGCAACUGUUGUAUGCACAACAAAUGCACUCGGACGGUUGAUCAUGGUGGGACCCACAGGGUACCUACCGUGAUCAACAGUUAGAAUACAUAACAGUUGCACCAGACAAUCUCGAUGUCGUUAGUGGUCCCCACACUUUGUGAAUUUAACACUGCAGAUGUUUCAGAUUCAUUGAUUGGCUUUUAAUGUCAUAUCAUCUAUUUACAAUUAAAGCAUUUGAAGUUUCUUCGUGUUAAUAUCAUUUAUACCAGCUAUGUGCUUCAUUCCCUUGUUUUGAUUUCAGCAAUUCAGCAACUAACAACUGCAUCAAUAUCUCAAUGAACCCAAUAAUCGAGCUUCAUUUCCCAUCUGAUUCAAUUUGGCAGAUUUAAUAUUGAUUCCUAGCCUUAGAGAAACAGAUGGUUCCUACCUUAAGAAGUUACUUGACCAAAAUAAAUAUGCACGUUUAACCAACAAACCUCCCUCCACAAGGAGAAUGGCAACAGAAAAAUCAAGUACAUAUCAUACGCAGUUCACGAAAUUCUAAGUUUCAUAUAUCAGAGGUCUGUAUCACAACAAAAGAAUUCUGAUUUCUGCAGAUUAGGAUAAAGUCACAAUUCAAGCAACAAGAAAAAGACUGCAAAUUGCAAAAUGCAUGGAAAAUGCAGAAGUUCAAAGUUAGGGGACUUACAGUUGAAGAACUGAAUAAUG